rnacentral:rRNA from 1 species
CGUACACUCCUGCGGGAGGCAGCAGUGGGGAAUAUUGCACAAUGGGCGCAAGCCUGAUGCAGCCAUGCCGCGUGUAUGAAGAAGGCCUUCGGGUUGUAAAGUACUUUCAGCGGGGAGGAAGGCAAUACGGUUAAUAACCGUGUUGAUUGACGUUACCCGCAGAAGAAGCACCGGCUAACUCCGUGCCAGCAGCCGCGGUAAUACGGAGGGUGCAAGCGUUAAUCGGAAUUACUGGGCGUAAAGCGCACGCAGGCGGUCUGUCAAGUCGGAUGUGAAAUCCCCGGGCUCAACCUGGGAACUGCAUUCGAAACUGGCAGGCUUGAGUCUUGUAGAGGGGGGUAGAAUUCCAGGUGUAGCGGUGAAAUGCGUAGAGAUCUGGAGGAAUACCGGUGGCGAAGGCGGCCCCCUGGACAAAGACUGACGCUCAGGUGCGAAAGCGUGGGGAGCAAACAGGAUUAGAAACCCUAGUAGUCCCAUGA